AGUUUAUAUAACAUCGAUUCAUCACAAACCCGGUAGAGCUAGUAUAGAGCUGUAAGUCGAAUCCAAUUGAUCGUAUCACACGCAGAGAGAAAGAGAGAUAUAGAGAGGUAGAGGAGGAGAAGGAAGGAUCGAUGGAGAAAGCUGCAACAUUCACGACUGCAACUCCGUUGUUUGUGGCUAUUCGGAUCUUUACGGUUCUCGCUAUCAUUCUACUGUACCUCCCCCCGCUGGCUUGUGGCGCCCGUCGUCUUCUCGAUAAGGUUACUGUUGUGGGUCAUCCGCCUCCAAAGCAAUGCCCUUGUAUUCCUUAAGGCUUUGCCUGGAUUAAGCAUAUAGGAUUUUAGCCUCGGAAAAUAAAGAAAGUAAGACAAAGGACCAUGGAAAGUUGCACUGACGAAAAUUAAAUUCGAAAAAUUUUUUAAAUAAUAAAAGGGGUAUAGUGCAGUAAUAUACGUCUUUGUUGGCGUACCUGUGCCCUUCAUUAAUUAUUAAUAUUUUUAUUUCAUUGUACUAGACCUACAUGUUUCCCUUGUAACAAAAAAGAAAUCAAGACUUUUUAGUUCUGAGUCGAUGACUUACGUGAUUGCACUAA